rnacentral:lncRNA from 1 species
GGGUGAGGGGUGCUAGGCUCUCAGUGCUCUGUAAGCCCAGCUCUGACAUUGCGUGGGUGAGGGGUGCUAGGCUCUCAGUGCUCUAUAAGUCCAGCUCUGACACUGCCUGGGUGUGGGGUGCUAGGCCCCCAGUGCCUGAGUUUCUAUAUCUGUGAGCCCAGCUAUGACACUGCAUGGGUGAGGGGUGCUAGGCCCUCAGUGCCUCAGUUUCCACAUCUGUACGCUGGGUCUCUAAAUGGUGCUGACCAUCAUGGAGUGGUUGUAAGGAGUUAAUGACUCAUAUGCAUGAAGUUCUUAGAACAGGCCUUCCCCUUUGCCAGCACUCAAUAAAUAUCAGUUAUUAUGAGCAAUAUUAGGGUCAGGCUAUAAUAAUGAAGGGUGCUGUUUUGUCCCUGAGAGGACUGGAACCUAGAUGGAAUGAGAAAUAAUAACAGCAGCCAUCAUUUGAAUUUCCCGUGUAUGUGGGGCAGCAGACUAGCACAUUGAGUAAAUAUCUCAAGUAAAUACAAAUCCAGGUGGAAACAGAGAAGGAACCUAUGACAGAAACUGUGCAGCCAGGAGAGGCCAGAUCUACAUGCGCUCAGAACACAGGGUGUCGGCAAAGGUUCCCCGAGAGUCCAUUUCAACCAGUUGUGAGAAGAGACGGCAGAGCUCAGACAAGCAGGUGCGAGGAGCGAGCUGACUGCAAACAACAGCAGAGGACAUUUCCUGCGAUGGCGGGGAGUACCUUUCCUAGGUGUCUUUUAAAGCAGAAUGUUUUCCCACCCUGCGGGGAGAGGGCUGUUCGGUGUGAACCUGCUGGCGAGGAGGAGGGAGUGAAAUAUUUACAGAGCAUCCUCCGGCAGGCUGGAUUUUCAGAGCAUCGCUGUGAAGAGCCCUCCAGGUGCCCAGCUUCCAGUCUCAGCUCCGAUACUCAGAGGCGUGUGAUGUCCUAGCCUCAGCUUCCCGGUCUGUUCGAUGGAUGAUCAUUUUUCCCCUGACAACUGGGAAAACACAAAGCAAAACACAGCUCCAAUAAAAUUG